ACCCGUUGAGGUUUAAAACUCUUGGGAUGAGCUGUGGUUAGGAGUGAAAAGCUAAUCGAAUCUGGAGAUAGCUGGUUCUCCCCGAAAUAGUUUUAGGACUAGCCUGGAUUGAUUGACCUUUGGUUGUAAAGCACUGAUUGGGCUAGGGGGCAUUACCUGCUUACCAAACCUUGUCAAACUCUGAAUGCCAGGGGUUUUUAUGUCUGGAGUCAGACUGUGGGAGCUAACUUUCAUGGUCGAAAGGGAAACAACCCAGAUCGCCGGUUAAGGUCCUUAAGUCGUGGCUGAGUGGUGAAGGAUGUGAAGGCGCAGUGACAGCUAGGAGGUUGGCUUAGAAGCAGCCAUUCCUUUAAAGAGUGCGUAAUAGCUCACUAGUCGAGCGUCUUUGCGCUGAAGAUGAUCGGGGCUAAGUCACGUACCGAAACCGCGGCAGCAUCGUUUAACGGUGUUGGGUAGGGGAGCGUUCCGUAGGCCGUUGAAGCGGUACCCGUGAGGGAUCGUGGAGGUAUCGGAAGUGCGAAUGCAGGAAUGAGUAACGAUAAGAAGGGUGGGAAUCCCUUCCGCCGUAAGCCUAAGGUUUCCUGAGCUAGGGUCGUCCUCUCAGGGUUAGGCGGGUCCUAAGGUGAGGCUGAAAAGCGUAGUCGAUGGAUAACUGGUUAAUAUUCCAGUCCCACCCGCGUGGAGUGAUGGGGUGACGCAUUAGGAUAGGCUGUCCGGAGCUAUGGCUAUGCCCGGUGGCAAGCGAAUGCCUGUCAGGAUUGUUAAAUGCGCCUGGCGUGUAGGUGACGUUUGUCGGGAAGCCCUUUGGGGUGAUAAGUGGCUGACUCCAUGGUGCCAAGAAAAUCCUCUAAGCGUUGAUGCGUGGGUGCCCGUACCGAUAACCGACACAGGUGGGCGAGUGUAAGUGCACUAAGGCGCGCGAGAGAACUCUCUCUAAGGAACUCUGCAAAUUGGCCCCGUAACUUCGGGAGAAGGGGUCCCACGUUAGCGUUGAUCUUCGGAUCUGCGUGAGGUGGGCACAGUAAAUCGGCUCUAGCGACUGUUUAUCACAAUCAUAGCACUCUGCUAACCCUUUUGGGGAUGUAUAGGGUGUGACACCUGCCCGGUGCCGGAAGGUCAAGGGGAGCGGUGAGAGCUGCGAACUGAAGCCCCGGUGAACGGCGGCGGUAACUAUAACCGUCCUAAGGUAGCGAAAUUCCUUGUCAGGUAAGUUCUGACCUGCACGAAUGGUGUAACGACUGGAGCGCUGUCUCGGAGAGAGACUCGGUGAAAUUGAAUUGGCUGUAUAGAUGCGGCCUUCCCGCAGCAGGACGAAAAGACCCCGUGGAGCUUUACUACAGCUUGGUAUUGGUAUUGGGAACGGUUUGUGUAGUAUAGGUGGGAGGCUGUGAAGCCAGGCCGUCAGGUUUGGUGGAGCCAACAAGUGAAAUACCACCCUGACCGUUUCUAGUGUCUAACCUCAUGUCCGUGAUCCGGGUGAGGGACAGUGCUUGGUGGGUAGUUUGACUGGGGUGGUCGCCUCCUAAAUUGUAACGGAGGCGCGCAAAGGUUCCCUCAGCACGGUCGGAAAUCGUGCGUUGAGCGUAAGGGUAUAUGGGAGCCUGACUGUGAGACGUGCAUGUCGAGCAGGCGCGAAAGCGGGUCCUAGUGAACCGGUGGUACCGCAUGGUAGGGCCAUCGAUCAACGGAUAAAAGUUACCCCGGGGAUAACAGGCUGAUACCGCC
rnacentral:rRNA from 1 species